UUGGGCGAGGAUGAUUUGAGGAGACAUAUGUUGAAUUGAAUCAUUCGAGCAGCGGACGGGUGAGUAAAGCACAAGGACUUGUCCGAAAGAGAGGGACACCUGCGGGAAACCGGAGCUAAUACCUCAUAAGCCGGAAGGUGAAAAGCAGAGAUGCGCUUUUGGAGAGACUUGUGUCCUAUCAGGCAGUUGGUGAGGUGAAAGCUCACCAAACCGAAGACGGGUAGCCGGACUGAGAGGUCGACCGGCCACAUUGGAACUGAGAGACGGUCCAGACUCCUACGGGAGGCAGCAGUGGGGAAUAUUGGGCAAUGGGCGGAAGCCUGACCCAGCGACGCCGCGUGAGGGAAGACAGCCUUCGGGUUGUAAACCUCUGUUGCAGGGGAAGAAGGAAGUGACGGUACCCUGCGAGGAAGCUCCGGCUAACUACGUGCCAGCAGCCGCGGUAAUACGUAGGGAGCGAGCGUUGUCCGGAAUUACUGGGCGUAAAGGGCGCGUAGGCGGCGCUUCAAGUCGUCUGUCAAAUGGAAGGGCUUAACCCUUUUUCGCAGACGAAACUGGAGAGCUUGAGAAGCAGAGAGGCAAACAGAAUUCCUGGUGUAGCGGUGAAAUGCGUAGAUAUCAGGAAGAAUACCAGUGGCGAAGGCGGUUUGCUGGCUGCAUACUGACGCUGAAGCGCGAAAGCCAGGGGAGCGAACGGGAUUAGAUACCCCGGUAGUCCUGGCAGUAAACGAUGUAUG
rnacentral:rRNA from 1 species